UCGGUCGCGGUUUGGGUACGCGUACAAACGCUGCAGCGGACGUUUGAAAAAUGCAAAUCAUUUCGAUGGCGAGCUGACGUUUGGGGUACGGACCGAAAGUUUAAAUCGAUGCGUUGCGGCGGAUUAACGCCGUCCAUAUAUUAUCCGAUAAUUAUUCUGGUAACUGUGACUUAUAUGGAUUUCUUCUCACACAAACUACAAUAAUAGAGACAGUUGGCCGCCGCACCGGACGAGUGUACGCGAUGCGGGGAAACAUUUUUUACGCGAUGAUGGAAAAGAUAUAUUGCGCACAAUAAUAUUAUACGUACACCAUUUUGAGGGUAUUCGAAUACACAACAAUAUAUCGAACGGUGCAGCGUCCUUAAGAGUUAAAAAAACUAAAAGCAAGUAAAAUCAAAGCACAAUGGCCGGGGAUAAGACGUCGCCUCGUUCACGAUGAACAAAAAAAAAAUCACCCUGUACGCGAAACGAUCUUUUGUACCCGCCGCCGCUUCUUUCACCCCGCUCAAAUCGUCCGUAAAAUGCGCUCCGGCAGAGGAGGGUUCGCGACGGGAACCCAAAUCGUGCAGUUAUCGCGGCCGGGAUCGUUUCUGCACCGACAAACGCGUGUUCAGUGUCGAAUCGACUGCGUCCGACUGUAUACGAUUCCGUUUCGGCGGGUGACGAUCUCGCACGCAAUCCAUUAUGUUGCCCGUCGACCGUCUUCGUUACGAUGUGUUUUGCGGACCUGAAGGGGAUUCGGUUGGAUGGCAUAAAACCGAAGAGUUUGUGAUCAACGACGUGGAAGGCAAAGACAAAAAAAAAAAAAAAACACGAAUGUCUACCUAUAUUAUGUACCUAUACGAUAAUAUCGAUUUAAAAAUAAUAUACACAUAAUAUAACGUCGAGCGAAUGUAUUACGUUAUAAUAUUAUACUUACAGUGUUUCAC